rnacentral:rRNA from 1 species
CAGUCCACGGGAAUACGUAGGUGGCAAGCGUUGUCCGGAAUUAUUGGGCGUAAAGCGCGCGCAGGCGGAUAGGUCAGUCUGUCUUAAAAGUUCGGGGCUUAACCCCGUGAUGGGAUGGAAACUGCCAAUCUAGAGUAUCGGAGAGGAAAGUGGAAUUCCUAGUGUAGCGGUGAAGUGCGUAGAUAUUAGGAAGAACACCAGUGGCGAAGGCGACUUUCUGGACGAAAACUGACGCUGAGGCGCGAAAGCCAGGGGAGCGAACGGGAUUAGAUACCCCAGUAGUCCCUGUCUCUUAUACACU